rnacentral:rRNA from 1 species
UACAGAGGUGGCGAGCGUUGUUCGGAUUUACUGGGCGUAAAGGGCGCGUAGGCGGCGAUGUGUGUCGGGUGUGAAAUCCCAGGGCUCAACCCUGGAAGUGCGCCCGAAACUGCAUCGCUCGAGUGCGGGAGGGGAGAUCGGAAUGCAGGGUGUAGCGGUGAAAUGCGUUGAUAUCCUGCAGAACACCGGUGGCGAAGGCGGAUCUCUGGAACGCAACUGACGCUGAGGCGCGAAAGCGUGGGGAUCAAACAGG